UUCCCCCAGUAACGGCGAGCGAAGCGGGAACAGCUCGAGCAGGCAAUCUCUGGUGUCGAUCGCCAGCGAAUUGUGGCCAGUAGAGGCGGGUACACCUGACGCGACUUCGUCGAAGUUGACCUGGAAAGGCACGUCGGAGAGGGUGAUAGCCCCGUGCGUGGCGGAGUCGCCGAGGGCCGCUACCGUCUUCUGAGAGUUGGGUUGUUUGGGAGUGCAGCCCAAAGUGGGUGGUAAACUCCAUCUAAAGCCAAAUAGCGGCACGAGACCGAUAGCGAACAAGUACCAUGAGGGAAAGGUGAAAAGCACUUUGGAAAGAGAGUUAAAGAGGCCGCGAAACCGUUGGGAGGGAAACGCAUGCAGCCGGACCGGCCCGCGUCGAGUUCACGGGGCUGCCGUCAGUCGCGUCCGUCGUCGGCACCGAAAGGGUCGGGGCUAGCUCACUCCUUGCGCUCGGGCCGCUUGGCCUGACGUCGGCUGCAUCCGACCAGUCUUGAAACACGGACCAAGGAGUGCAACAGUUGUGCGAGUAUUCGGGCGUCAAACCCGGGUGAUGCGCAAUGAAGGUGAAGGCGGGACUUGUGGCCCGCCGAGGCGAGAGCCGCUUCGUGCGGCGCAUCGUCGACCGAUCCGUUGCCACGCUGUGGCGGGAUUCGAGUGAGAGCGUUGCUGUUGCGACCCGAAAGAUGGUGAACUAUGCCUGAGUAGGGCGAAGCCAGAGGAAACUCUGGUGGAAGCCCGCUGCGGUUCUGACGUGCAAAUCGAUCGUCAAACUGGGUAUAGGGCGAAAGACUAAUCGAACC
rnacentral:rRNA from 1 species